rnacentral:rRNA from 1 species
UACGAAGGGGGCUAGCGUUGCUCGGAAUUACUGGGCGUAAAGGGCGCGUAGGCGGCACUGUUAGUCAGGCGUGAAAUUCCUGGGCUCAACCUGGGGACUGCGCUUGAUACGGCAGAGCUAGAGGAUGGAAGAGGCUCGCGGAAUUCCCAGUGUAGAGGUGAAAUUCGUAGAUAUUGGGAAGAACACCGGUGGCGAAGGCGGCGAGCUGGUCCAUUACUGACGCUGAGGCGCGACAGCGUGGGGAGUAAACAGG